UGCGGGAUGGUGCAACUGGCAGCACGCCUCUCUUUGAAAGAGGAGAUUGAAGGUUCGACUCCUUCUCCCGCAG
rnacentral:tRNA from 1 species